UAGGGAAUCUUCGGCAAUGGACGAAAGUCUGACCGAGCAACGCCGCGUGAGUGAAGAAGGUUUUCGGAUCGUAAAACUCUGUUGUUAGAGAAGAACAAGGACGUUAGUAACUGAACGUCCCCUGACGGUAUCUAACCAGAAAGCCACGGCUAACUACGUGCCAGCAGCCGCGGUAAUACGUAGGUGGCAAGCGUUGUCCGGAUUUAUUGGGCGUAAAGCGAGCGCAGGCGGUUUCUUAAGUCUGAUGUGAAAGCCCCCGGCUCAACCGGGGAGGGUCAUUGGAAACUGGGAGACUUGAGUGCAGAAGAGGAGAGUGGAAUUCCAUGUGUAGCGGUGAAAUGCUUAGAUAUAUGGAGGAACACCAGUGGCGAAGGCGGCUCUCUGGUCUGUAACUGACGCUGAGGCUCGAAAGCGUGGGGAGCAAACAGG
rnacentral:rRNA from 1 species